AAUGGUAGGAGAGCGUUCUAAGGGCGUUGAAGCAUGAUCGUAAGGACAUGUGGAGCGCUUAGAAGUGAGAAUGCCGGUGUGAGUAGCGAAAGACGGGUGAGAAUCCCGUCCACCGAUUGACUAAGGUUUCCAGAGGAAGGCUCGUCCGCUCUGGGUUAGUCGGGUCCUAAGCUGAGGCCGACAGGCGUAGGCGAUGGAUAACAGGUUGAUAUUCCUGUACCACCUAUAAUCGUUUUAAUCGAUGGGGGGACGCAGUAGGAUAGGCGAAGCGUGCGAUUGGAUUGCACGUCUAAGCAGUAAGGCUGAGUAUUAGGCAAAUCCGGUACUCGUUAAGGCUGAGCUGUGAUGGGGAGAAGACAUUGUGUCUUCGAGUCGUUGAUUUCACACUGCCGAGAAAAGCCUCUAGAUAGAAAAUAGGUGCCCGUACCGCAAACCGACACAGGUAGUCAAGAUGAGAAUUCUAAGGUGAGCGAGCGAACUCUCGUUAAGGAACUCGGCAAAAUGACCCCGUAACUUCGGGAGAAGGGGUGCUCUUUAGGGUUAACGCCCAGAAGAGCCGCAGUGAAUAGGCCCAAGCGACUGUUUAUCAAAAACACAGGUCUCUGCUAAACCGUAAGGUGAUGUAUAGGGGCUGACGCCUGCCCGGUGCUGGAAGGUUAAGAGGAGUGGUUAGCUUCUGCGAAGCUACGAAUCGAAGCCCCAGUAAACGGCGGCCGUAACUAUAACGGUCCUAAGGUAGCGAAAUUCCUUGUCGGGUAAGUUCCGACCCGCACGAAAGGCGUAACGAUUUGGGCACUGUCUCAACG
rnacentral:rRNA from 1 species